UUAGGCUAUCCAGAUCAGCAACUCUUCUCUCAAUUUUCCACGUCACUUCCUCCUCGUUGUGUGCUGCGGAAGUUAUAAGGGUGGAACUUUAAACCUCUCAACCUCCCAUGAUCUUGCAGUUACUCAUUCUUUAUUGCCCAUCCACAUUCCAAACUACUUACAGUAAUAAUGACUUCACUUGCAUAUUUAUCACUCCCUUUCAUUCUUCUUCACUCAUUUUCAUUCUUCUUCUUCUACAGCGAUUUCAAUCUUCCUCUCCAAUCUUCUUCUACAGCGGUUUCACAAAACCGUUUUUCUUUCAUCGGGCUUCUGAUUUCUUCUUCUUCUUCUUCUAUCUUUUUCAAGUUUGAUUUUGAUUUAGUUUUUAAAGUUUCAGGUUUCAUGGUGUUGUCUCAUGCGGAAAGGGAAAGAUCCAUGGCCGAUGCAAUUUCUGAUGAUGCGUAUGCAUCAGUGUUUGUUAUUACUUUGUAUGAUUUGUUAAAUUUUGUUUGGAUAAGCUGUGACCUGAUUUUGCUGUGGGUUUAUGCAGGUUCGAUGAUGAAGCACAAGUUUGCUUGGCCUUUAAAAAGAAAGGAUGGCAAUGAGAGAGAUUUAUCGGUUCUUUGUAGUAUUUUGAUUUUGUUUAUGCUUUGAAUUUCAGGUGACGGUUCAUUUCGAUUUGGGUUUCUCCGAUUACGCUAACGGUUCAUAGGCGCACCUAUUUCUACGCAGAUUUUGAUUUUUUUCUUCUAAUUUUCUACUCGCUUGCUUAAUGCAGUGUAUUUGAAGCUGAAAAGCCAGGAUGUAGAUUUUCUAUACAGCAGAGACUUGGAACAUACUUCUUCAAGGUAAUGAAUGUACGGUCAUUUCUUUGGUAAGCCAAAUUAUGUGAGGUUUCGUUAUUUUGAUCGAUGUUGUUAAAUAGCCACUAUAGCAGCGCUACAUCGUUAAGCAUAAUGUAAUCAUGCUUACUGAUUAAUGUAUAUUAAAAAUAAUUUUGAUCAUAUGUUACAUUUUCUUCUCAUAUUUUGAUGUUGGCGUCACGUUAUGUGUGAUGCUUCGUCGGUAUGUCCAGCUUUGAUCCGUGAUAUGGUGUGAAUUAGCUGUAUUUUGUGCGAAACCUGAAAUCGUAUACGGCACAGAGUUAGAGCAAGUGUAUAUGUAUGGUAAUCAUAAUAUAUAUUUUUUUAUCUUACACACUAUGUUAUCCUAUACGGCAUAGAGCCAGCGCAGAAGGUGAAAAAAAGCCACUGAAGGUGAAAAAACGGAUCAGGAAACUGAAUGUUAUCUUUGAGAAGUUUAGUGAUGUUAAGAUUCAUGUUUCCAUGCUCAGUACAUAGACUUCAAAAUGGGAGCUGAGUCAGGAUUCAUUCGAUUUGACGUACCUGAAGCUGCUCAGAAAGCACGUUUUGAUGGCUCAAUGAUUGUUUUGAACUGUUAGAUUCAAUUCAUACACACAACAACAUCGUGCUCACAUCGUCUGCACGCGAUUACUUCAACCGCAUCUUGCAGGACAUCUCCGGCAUGAAGGUUCUCAUACUUGAUUCUCAAACGGUAAGUAUUGUGAGUAUUGUGUACUCACAGUCAGAACUUCUUCAGAAAUAAUACCAAAAUUUGUAAGCAAUUACUCACUACCUUCUUAUGAAUAUCUACACUCAUAAUUAAUUCUAACACUAUUAAUAAAAAACUUAUGUUUAUUUUUUCUUUCAAGGGCUCAUAAUCAUGGUGCGGGUCUACAAUGAAAAUUUUAACCUAAAAGCAUGACUACGCCAUUUUGCCAUUUUGUUAGGUGUACAUGUAUCAAUGAUUGGUAGGAGAAGGGUUUCAAUUGCUCACUGGAGGCCAAUGGGGGAUUUUUAGGAGUUUUAGAAAAUGUGUUUUAUUUGUUUAUAUAAUAUGAUUUUUAUAUUUUGUUAAUGCUCUUCCAUGUUUUAGCUGGCUAAUUCUGUUCAUGUUUUUCCUUUCAUUUAUUUAUGAUUCUGCAGAAUGUUAACAAUAGAGAGACUUUGGAGUCACAUCCAAGACCUGGCACCCAAGGACGUGGGGUUAGAGGUGGUCGGGGAAAUUUUACAAAUAAACACAUAGUGCACGAUGCUCGAGGUGGCAAGAGUUCUGUACCAAGCAAAGAUAACAGGUCCAACGAAGAAACUGCAAAGGGUGUGCCUCCUUUGCCAGGUUCAUAAGAGUCAAAAUCUAGAGAAAAAAGUUCUGGAACAAGCUCUGUUCCAGCUAUUGCCAAUGGGCCUACAACUGUAUCAUCUGGAACUACUAAUGUGAAUUCAUCCCCUUCAUCUACUGGAAAUGUGGAUAGGAUUAGUCCAUCGGAUGGCGGUAAUAUUACGAUUUGUCAUCCAGAAUGCCCCUGUAAAAACCAGGGUUAUGUGAAUUUUGUUUUUCUUUAUCUAAGUCCAGUUAGAAUUUAUUUUAUAUGCUACCCUCAUGCUAAAUAUAUCUUGGCGGGUUGAGGAACUGUAUUCACUCGACCACGACUCUCUCAAUAGUGCAUAGCAUGAAGUAGUCAGGUCAAAAACAGUUUGUGGCAUCGGAAACAGUUUAGUUUUUGGUUGAUGGUACAAAAGCAGGAUCGUUGAAUAGCUAUGGACCUCUAUCUUUUCUAAAGGUGAAAAAGAGAAGAGAGGUGCUUGAAGAUAAACUUGAAAAACAAGACACUAGAGCUAUAUAUUCUGUCAAUAGACAAUACUCUAUUCCAAAUUGCAUUGAUAUCUUGAGAGGCAGCAUAAUAUCGUUUCCAAGAGUAUGGUAUGAGCAACACCUAUGAUUAGGAGACGAAACAGAAAUCCAGGAACUUGAGAAGGCUUUAAAAACGAUUAUCUUUAUAUGCAUGAACUUGACAAGGAUUUACAAAGAGAGGUACUUGAUUGCACAUCUCAAAAGCUCACUCUGGCUGCACAUUGAGUUCAUGAUGAAACAACUAAUAAUGGUGAAGCAAAUGUUGAUGAUGAUGAUGAUGAUGAUGAGAUGAGUAAACUUUUGUUGUCACGUAAAAAGAGGAAGCCAACUACUGUCACUACUUAUUCAUCCAAAUGAAAAAGUCGAUUCAGAUUACAAAGCCUUCCCUCUAUUAUGAAAAAGUCGAUUCAGAUUACAAAGCCUUCCCUCUAUUUCAAAACUUAAUCGAACUUCGACUACUAUGCUCUCAUAAUGGCAUUCAUGACUGGAGUGAAGUACUAAAACUGCUCCGGAAUUGUCCCAAAAUAAAAUCUCUAUACAUUAAUAAGGUUUAUUUGUCACGCUGAUGGUUUAUGUUUGUUCUUCUAUUCAACUAUUUUUACAAAUAAUUUUUUGACAGGGAGUUUGUUCAUCAAACACCACAGAGGACUGAAACAGCCAAGCCAUGUUCAUGAAUGUGUUUCUUCUCAUCUAACAACUAAGGGUGAUACUCUUUUUUCUCUACAUGUUAUGAAGAAAACCAUCUUAUUAUGCAUUCUCAUUUUUCUCUUUUAGUCGAGGAAAACCAUUUUAUUAUUAGUGGUUGGAUGUUUCACGGUUUCUGUGUUGUUGCAGACGUUUCCAAUAGUAUUGUCAUUUUGUUUUAAUAAUUACUCUAAUAACUGUCCUUGAGGAAGUUACUUACUGUUAUCAUAACAGUCUCUUGGGAAGUUAAUACUAGCUGUAACUUCUAUGAUCCAUCAAGGCAUAUUUCAUACAUGUAACAGCAAAAAUUGACAUAUCUAAGGAAGGCACACUGCAAUAAGAGGGAAGGGAGACAGGUUUACUACCACAAUGAUCCCGUCAAUGGGUUGGUGGAGAGACUGUUAUCUUUGAUUUAGGAUCAGGGGUAAGCUGAGGCGUUGGACAAGAUCAUAUUAAUGUGGUGCUGAGUUGCUAUACAGCGUUAGCAGGAAUAAAUUAACAUCGUCGACAAAGCUGCCGAUCUCAAGACCACUGAUUGUGAACUUUGAUACACGCUGCGAAAACAUGAGAGAUUGUCUCAAAGAAAUGAAUACUGAUGGUACCACUGAUAUGAAUCGAGAGGAUAACAACAUCGAUACCGACAUCGGAGGUGAUGUAUAGCAAUGAAAACCAUGAGAUGGCCAAGACCUUGCUAAACAAAUUCGAGGAGAAAAUUAUAUGCUAAUUUUACUCUUAUUUGUUUCAUGUAACUUUGAUAAUGUGGACAUAUUUCCCGAAACUUUAGCAGGUGACGAAACUAGGUAAAGACAUGUCAAGGUCACAGGAAGCAUGGUUGGAUGAUGAGAUUGUUCAAAUAGAUGUCAAGGUUACCAAUGCUGCAGCCAAGAAGAAGUGAUUUCACACAAUGGUUCUUCUGCACAAGUUGUUCCUUUAUUAUCUUUUCAGAGUCUUAGUCUGUUUUUCCAUUUUGUUUGAUUUUCCUGGUACUAUUUUUUGGUGUUAAUUUAUGUUUCAGAACUACAUUUCGUUAUUAUUGUGAUUCAAAAUAUUUAUUUAUGUUGUUUUAUUGACUUAGCAGGGUUUAGUGCUUGCAGGCUAUUUUUUGACGACUGUCCAUGAUAGUGCUUGCAUUGCAUGCUAUUGAACUUGCAUGAUAGUGCUUGCAUUGCAUGCGAUUGAACUUGCAUGAUAGACUUCUCAUGCUAUUGAACUUUCAUGAUAGUGCUUGCAAAGUUAAUUAGUUCUUAUGACUUGACAAUUAAAAAUCAUGUCCACUAAAAUGUAUAAUCACGCAUAAUUCUUAGGUUACAUACACAUCUCAAUCUUUAAAAAAUAGGAAACAUUAUUAUUCUCUAUGGUGCAACAAGGGGCUUUUGCACUGCUUAAGAUAUGGCAAAGCGCUACAGUUGAUUCAAUUGUAUAGAUUGUAACAGUUAUAAUUUAUUAUUUCUUAUGGUUAUUACUUAUUUACCGAAGAAUAUUCGGGAUGAGGUAUUAAGAUGUUCACAGAAUGAAAGUUCUCUUUCACAUGUACAAGUUAUUUUGGAUUAUGCUUCUCUAAUGUUGUAAAUAACUAGCAAAGUGAGAAAAAUUAAGUGUUGAUACUUCCAUCAUCCACCAAUGUGAUUUAACAUACA